UGUUUUUUUUGUAGAAUUUUAUGCUCUUGCUGUUAUCUUAGCCUCACAGGAUUGUAUAUUUUGAUGGAAUAUAGGAUGCAUGUAUUUGAUCUUUCCUGCUGAGAUUCAGUGUUUCCUAUCGGAGGUCUGAAUUUGCAUAUGUGGGGCCUCUCAGUUAGAUUGUAAGUAUACUAACCAUUCUGUAACUGAGGUUGUGCCAUAUAUCUAGAACUGUAGAAUAUCUUCCACAUAUGUUCAUUCAGGGACCUUAGAAAUUCACUAUUGAGGGUUCAUUGCCAAGAAGGCAACUCAUCUCUUCGGCAUUGAAUUUAUUUGGAGUGUUGCAAUUAUCGCAAUGCUCAGUGACAACUACCAGGGUCAUGAAGAAGUCCUAGCUCAACAAUGGCUCCGUGAGCUCUAACAGGUGUGGUGGGCUGCCAACGACCUACACAUAGUAUUUCUUAAAUCGGCUGCAAUCACUAGAUUCUCGUCACUAACUCUGUGAACUGGUAGAAAGUGGUCACGUUGGGAAAGGAGUAAACGGAAUGCUACUAAAAUAGUGGGCCUUUGGGCAACACCUAAAGCAUUGCAAUAAGCUUCUGAUAAGAAUUUCGUACAAGAAUAGGUGCUUGUAAAUAUGUUGAAUUGUUCAUGGUGGAGUUGUUGUACAGUCUCCCAACAGCCAUGAUUUACAAGGCUCAAGGGACUAUAUAAAGGCCAAACACUUGGAAUUCAAACAAGCUAGGUUCAAAAUGGUAACUUUGAGUUAUUAUUUAUGUUGUUUGGCUGGCUUAUUUGAUGCCGAAGUUGUAUGAGGAUACGUGUGUUUUAAAAUUUUGCUAUUGGAUUUCACUUUUUUUCUUUAUCUCUGUCAAUUCUCCUUUUGAGAGCAUAAUUACUA